rnacentral:lncRNA from 1 species
AGUUAACCAGCUCAGCAAACCAGAGCCUGAGAUAAUGGGCUAAGCUCUUUGUGUGUCUUGAAAGAAAACUGGUUGCAAUCCAGUAGGAAGCUACAACUUGGUGCCAGACUCCUAAGCUACCUCCCAAAGAGACGAGGAUAGAAGGAACCAUCCAUCUUGAGGUUCACAUUCCAAAGAGAAGUCUCUGAGGCCUUCAAGAAGGACAUUCUGGGAAGUGAAAGUGAGACACCAACCACGGCCUCACUCUGUGCUCUUGGGUGUCAGGAGGUACACCAAAAUAGUAUCAGACCUGCACAGAACUGAAGAGAUGCUAAUCUUGCUCCUGUAUCUCCUUACUCUUUGGCUGGGAAAACACCCAGCAUAAUGUUACCUUUUGGACUUUAAAUGGACAGUAUUUAAAAGGAUUAUCCCCAUGCCUGUGUCAAUUGGACUGGGAAGAAUUUGAAAAAAUUAAUAACCACUGAUCUAAACUGAUGAACAGAGCAUACACAUCAGGCACAGGCAAAAAGCACUUACACCACAACAAAUGAGCAAGGUCAAAGCAAUUCAUUGAAGAAAUGAACUCUCAGGUGUGCAAAGGAAGGAGAGGCCAGGUGUCUCCAGGAGUUUUGCAGAAAGUGGUUACAGGAAGAGCCUAAAACAGAGAAACCAAGCCAAUACCUGCAGAACUGGACAGGACAUGGUAAGUGGAACCAAUCCUUGUUGGGGACAGUGUAGGGGUAGGGAAUCUGUAGUUAACUUGUUAGUUUAUGCUUUUGUGUAGAGGGAGCCACAUCCUCAGCUCUGCCCUCCCCAUUUGUUGUCCUGUCAAAGGUGGCCAAGGCCUUUCCAGGUCCCUUGAGUGUUAUAAUAGAAACC